UACGUAGGGUGCAAGCGUUGUCCGGAAUUAUUGGGCGUAAAGAGCUCGUAGGCGGUUUGUUGCGUCGGCUGUGAAAUCCCGAGGCUCAACCUCGGGUCUGCAGUCGAUACGAGCAAACUAGAGUGUUGCAGGGGAGACUGGAAUUCCUGGUGUAGCGGUGAAAUGACGCAGAUAUCAGGAGGAACACCGGUGGCGAAGGCGGUGGUCUGGGCCGGCAACUGGACGCUGGAGGAGCGAAAGCCGUGGGGAGCGAACAGG
rnacentral:rRNA from 1 species